rnacentral:tRNA from 1 species
AGUCCCAUCGUCUAGUGGUCAAGGACGACAGGCUCUGGACCUGUAAACCCCAGUCCGAAUCUGGGUGGGACUA